UUUACCCUAACCCUUACAUCUCUUUCUAUCACUCUCUCUCUCAGCCUCUCCCUCACAUCGUCUCUCUCUCGUGUCUCUCUCUCGCACGACAAGGAAGCCAGGCAGGGCUCACUCAUAUGGUCUCCCUCUCUCUCUCUCUCUCCGGUGUGCGAUAGGGUGAUGGGCUUUCGUGGCUUGAGGCGUGGGUUCUAAAGGGUGGCUUCCUCGUGGGUACGAGGUCACGAAGAAGACGCCACAAGGUCUAGCAUAAACAAUCUUCAACGGGCCAGGAGCAGAUUUGGUAAUCACUCUCAUUUAUGAAUUAUUUCUUUUAGUUUUCUUCUUUUUCAUUUGUAAUUUUUGGGUAACCAUACUCAUUUUUUUGGGCAUGGUAAUUAGCUCUCUCUCUCUCUCUCAAGUAUUCUUCAAUGUUUUUCUUCUCAUGAUUUAUUUCUGUUUAUUUAUUUAUUUUGUGGUUUUGAAUGGCAUGUUCUGUCUCUGGGUUUUCAUUUUUAUGGGUUUUACUUUGUAUUUUGGGUUUCAGCAUCUUCAA